UGCAAGUCGAACGAACUCUGGUAUUGAUUGGUGCUUGCAUCAUGAUUUACAUUUGAGUGAGUGGCGAACUGGUGAGUAACACGUGGGAAACCUGCCCAGAAGCGGGGGAUAACACCUGGAAACAGAUGCUAAUACCGCAUAACAACUUGGACCGCAUGGUCCGAGUUUGAAAGAUGGCUUCGGCUAUCACUUUUGGAUGGUCCCGCGGCGUAUUAGCUAGAUGGUGAGGUAACGGCUCACCAUGGCAAUGAUACGUAGCCGACCUGAGAGGGUAAUCGGCCACAUUGGGACUGAGACACGGCCCAAACUCCUACGGGAGGCAGCAGUAGGGAAUCUUCCACAAUGGACGAAAGUCUGAUGGAGCAACGCCGCGUGAGUGAAGAAGGGUUUCGGCUCGUAAAACUCUGUUGUUAAAGAAGAACAUAUCUGAGAGUAACUGUUCAGGUAUUGACGGUAUUUAACCAGAAAGCCACGGCUAACUACGUGCCAGCAGCCGCGGUAAUACGUAGGUGGCAAGCGUUGUCCGGAUUUAUUGGGCGUAAAGCGAGCGCAGGCGGUUUUUUAAGUCUGAUGUGAAAGCCUUCGGCUCAACCGAAGAAGUGCAUCGGAAACUGGGAAACUUGAGUGCAGAAGAGGACAGUGGAACUCCAUGUGUAGCGGUGAAAUGCGUAGAUAUAUGGAAGAACACCAGUGGCGAAGGCGGCUGUCUGGUCUGUAACUGACGCUGAGGCUCGAAAGUAUGGGUAGCAAACAGGAUUAGAUACCCUGGUAGUCCAUAC
rnacentral:rRNA from 2 species